CACCGCCCACGCUGGGAUUGGUCCUGGUCCGAGGUGAGACGGACUUUGUGCCCUCGUGGGCCUUAGGGACUGUGGAGGAGAAGUGUUGGGCCAUGGCCAGGCCUCGCAGGCUGGAGCUGGCCGAGGCUCUGGCUCUGGGGCCGGACUGGAGGCAUGCCUGUUACGCCCUCCUGCACGCGCCCGAUCCUGGGAUUCUCUUUGGCCGCCUCCCUCUGCGCUACGCCAUACUGGUGAGGAGGGGGCGCGCCCGGACCUUUCCACUUUGGCCCUACAUCCUCCCUGCGGUGCUACUCUUGGGUGCCCCUGCCAAUCCCAGCUUCCUCCUCUCGCAGAUGCAGAUGCGCUUCGAUGGGCGCUUGGGCUUCCCUGGGGGAUUCGUGGACUCGCAAGACAGCAGCCUAGAGGAUGGGCUGAACCGUGGUCUGCUGGAACAGUUGGGUGAGGCGGCGGCUGCCUUCCGCGUGGAGCGCCCUGACUACCGCAGCUCCCACGCCGGGUCAGGGCCACGUGUUGUGGCCCACUUCUAUGCCAAGUCUCUGACACUCGAGCAGCUGUCCGCUGUGGAGGCCAGUGCAACACGCGCCAAAGACCACGGGCUGGAGGUGCUGGGCCUGGUGAGAGUGCCCCUGUAUACCCUGCGUGAUGGUGUGGGAGGCCUGCCUAUCUUUCUGGAGAAUUGCUUUAUUGGUGCUGCCCGGGAGCAGUUACUGGAUACCCUCCAGGACUUGGGAGUGGUGGAAGCUGGUGCUUUCUCAAGCCUUCAGAUCCCAGCUCGUCAAAGGCAACCCUCUGUGGACCCAGGGAACCUAAGAUGAGGACUUUGGUAUUAGGAAGAGAAUGUUUUCUCUUCUGGACCUAAAGAUGAUACCAGAUUAAAAGAAGAAGUGUGUACCAUAUGUUUUGAGAAGAGGACCCUCCAACUCGUGGCACCAGGGGCAAAAAUCCACAGCUCAUCCCAGGUACCCUGGCAGCUUCUCAGAGCCUGCCUCCUCCCUGUAUAUAUGCAUGCAGCCUGGUAACCCCAGGCAUGCAAAUAUACCAUCUAUAACAACACACAGCCUGACACCUUCCCCUGGUCAUGUCCAGUUUAACCAUGAAGGAAUAUUUGUCAACAUCCUCUGCUCCCAGAUAGCAAGGAGCUUCUGAAGCAAGCAUGGGUCCUUCCCACAGUCCUCCAUGGCUGCUCUCCAGGGUCUGACCCAGCUUAUUUGUUAGGGAGGAUAGAGAGGCAGAGGACUGCCUGUGCUUCCUGAAAAUAGACUUGCUCUUGUCUGAGUGGUGACCAAGGCAGUUGGCUCUUAAAAGGUGGGAGAGUAUCCUAACCAAUCCCCAAUCUUUUUCUUCUGAAACUGAGUAGGAGGGGUAAGGAAGUGGCUAGGUUUCCUUAGACUGAGCAUAGACAUGAGACCUGUAACUACUGGUGUCUCUGCUCCAGAGUUUUCAUCUUUGGGAUGCCUGAGACUCCGAUACUAUCAGAAGAGACGUGACCCACCCCGGUCUAGACCUGCCCUGGCAAAAAGAGCCUCCCAUUAAAGAGGGCUUAGAGCUGGGCCUCUAGGCCCUUCACUUUAUUUAUACAAAGGUGGUAGAAAAAUGUAGACUGGACAAAAUAAUCCAUGGAGAGAGAAAAAGAAGAGGGCUCAGGACAUGGCCCUGAGGACGCCCAAUCCUAAGAGUUUGGGCAGAGAAAACCAGGCAUGUUAAAGAAGACAAGAGAGUGGACUGUGCAGAGUGCUUAUGAGGGCUUCACUAAAACAGAGGCAGAGCUGUCCACUCCAUUUAGUAACAUGAAGUGUUUGAUGACUAUGAUGGCAGCAAUUUCAGGGAGGGUGGUGUGGAAGGCAGGCCGGAUUGGCUGAGUGAAUGGAAGAUCGGGGAGUGGAGCAUGUGAGAAGUUAGCCCUAAAUGGGGCUCAGGUUAAUAACUGGAGAGCUGUGGGGUCAAGCUGUGUUUAAGGUGGGAGGUAGAGCAUGCUGAUGUUGAUGGCAACAGUCAAGAUGGUGCGAUGAGAGAGAUAGGAGGGGGACGAGGAGGAGGACCCCUAAAGGGUCACAGUCCUUGAGAGAGGAGGAGGGAUGGGACCCUUGUAGGAAGAGACAGCUCUGCAGCCUCACAGGACUCAAUAUAACAGAAAGGGGUUAGUAUAGAAGAUGAGGAUGACUGAAUUAAUGGGGAAAUGAUGAAGGAGUUUGAAUCUCUUCUUUGUGAAAUGAAGUGAUAUUAUCAGCUAGAUGUGGGUGGAGCAUGUUCUUGGAAGGUAGGAAGUAGAUGUUUUCCUUGGUGUUGGAAAUCACAUUGAUUAAGGAAACAGCAGUAGGGCCAGACAAGGCUGAGCUCUGAGAUGGUCAGUUUAGAGUAGGAUGUUUGGCACUCAGGUGUGUGUGUGUUGAGUGGGGCUCUGCAUGCACCUGUCUUUCCCUCAUCAGGCUUCAGCAGCUGGGAUGGAGACACUUACUGCAGUGUUGGGGUUUUGCCAGGGAAGUAAAAGAAGGUGAGAGACAGAUGGGGAGUUCCGAUGACAUGACAGGAGAAAUUGCAGUGAUGAAAUGUGCAGUCUAAGGUUUAAUUGGCCCAAAAUGGGAAUUGAAAACAGGAGGUGACUAAGGAGGGAUUAGGAAAUUAGAGGUCUUGACAAGGUAGAAACUCCAGAAUGGUGAGGGGUUGGUCAGGGUUGUAUUUGAGCCAGACAGGAGUACUUUGGAAAUUGAGAGGUGGAGCAAUCUCAGGUAAAGGCAAAAUAGAGGGUAUGACCUGGGGUUGCUGGCCAGAGCCAGGGGAGGAGCCUUAAGACGUGAGAUCUGGGGUUGGGGAGGCUGGAGGGUAGGGCGAGCCUCCACGUGGGUGCUGAAGCGAAAAACCGACAUGACCUAGGAGCCAUUGUCCUUGGUGAACAAGAGGAGUGACCACAGGCCAGUGGCAUCUGCCAGAGGGAAAAGCAGGCAUGAUAGGAUAGCAUAUCCCAGGCGAGGGCUUUUUGAGGAAGGGAGGGUGGGAAGUGGUUUGGAAGCUUAAUGCAGAGCAGUGUGGUUCCCACUGGCAGCCCUUGGUCUUAGAAGAAUGGGAGUGGCCAGUGGCGGAGCCGCUGUACAUUUCCUAAUCACACCCUGACCCUUUUGUCAAGCAUUAUCUAGAUGAAACCUCAGCGUAGGCAGGCUGCAGGGAAUGGACAUUCCAGUGGUUCCUGGGGUCCCAGCCUGUCGCAGCUUCAUCUGUGCUUUGUGCACUUGACUCUCAGUCAUCUCUGCAAGGGACCCUGAGGUCUGGGAGAUCAGAGUCACUCACCCUUGAUGGCCCUGCUAAUAGACCUCUCCCUCAGAUAAUUCUGGAUCCAGAACUCAUUCUGGGAUGUAAUCCGGGUCAACAUGAAUACCAUUAGGAAGGUGCCUUUACAGCACUCAACUCACUCUGCUUGAGUAUCCCAGUGAUCAGUCUCUCAGUGCCUGCCUCCUGCACAGCUCAUCUGUCCACUUAUUUGCAUUAAAUCUGCUUUUUAUUUAGGUCUAUGGAGAUGGCUGAGUGGGGAGGAGCCCAUGACUUACCUGUAUGAUCCCUUAAACAUACUGUCCAAGUCAGCAGAUAAUUCUCAGGCAGGCUUCAUAAAAGUUUCACCAUACUGGGGUUUGUGUUCAUCUCACUCACCUAGACAGUCCCUGGGUAGGCAGACUAGGGGUGAUAGAAGCUCACGCUCUGUGUUUCUCCUCCUCUUACUCAUUCCCACCAUGCUGAGGUUUAAGGAAAGCCAGCGAUGAUGUCCCAGUUAAGCUUUCCUUGGCCUUGUUAAAUGGAAUCAUCUGGGGUGGGAAGCAGAGAAAUGCUCAUUGCAAUCUUUGACCUUCACUAACUGCUGUGGUGACUUUGACCCAAGCCCUUGACCUCCUUUCUCUUAUCUGAAAUGUUUCUGUGAUUCCUGUGGUGAGAUUAGAUGAGGCAGCACUUGGGAUAAGCUUGCAGAGACGCAUUCAGCGCUAUGAAAGUACAGGAUGCCAUGUGUGCUUCCUGCUUCAUAGCACAUUUUGUUUCUUGCAAGGUGAGAGGCCCAGCCGCCUCCCCACAAACACAUAUUUGUGCCUUUUUCAGCAUAAUCAGCAAGAUGUUCCCACUUCUCAGCAUUGUACUUUUCUGCUGGUGUAGAAUAAAUGCUUUGAGCCCCA